CUGAAGGACUCGUUGGCAGAGGCUGGGCAGGAUGCUGUGGAGAAGCUGCUGGAGAUUGAAAGCCGGCUGUCACCAUCCCUGCCCGUGGAGCCCGAGGAGAGCGAGGAAGGUGGAGGCAGCGACAAGCUGUGGACGUUCCUUGUUCAGAGCACCAUGAUGGAGCCUCUCAACUGCAAGAGAGUCAGCAGCCCCACAUUGAACACCACCUCUGAAGACACGUUCCAGUUCCGCAGUCAAGAGGAGGACUGCUCCCUCUCUCGCGAUGAGAUCAAACGGCGCAACAACCAGCUCAUCGAGGCCCACCAGCCCAAGAAGAAAGCAACCAAGGGCCCCAAGGCUAGCUAAGGGCCCCAAGGCUAGCUAAGGGCCCCAAGGCUAGCUAAAGGCCCCAAGGCUAGCUAAGGGCCCCAAGGCUAGCUAAAGGCACCGGCACAGAGAGAGGGGGGGUGAUGUGGAAGCCUGGGAGACUGUAUCUGAGUCCAACACAGCCAGAGGAGCUCUUGGUACAGACGAAAGAAAAUAAACAGGCCAGAACUAUCAUUUCACCUCUUUGGGACUUCUGUUUUGGAAUUAUCCCGUAGGCUGGGAGUUUAUUUUGAUGAUGUUAUAUAUCAAGAUAAGUGUGAACACCCACGGGUGUGUCUGCACUCACAGAGCUCUCCAAGCAAAGACAUUUGUAGUGUUGUAACAGGACAGUU